ACAGCAGCCUUCUCCAGGAUUGCUCAGUAGAACAUAGCAGCCAUCAGUGUGAUUCAGGCCGGCCUUAUGAAUGUUGUUUGUAUUUUCAGGUAAGCUAGCUGUAACCCGUAAUUAGUCAAUUAGUCAGACUUUUAUUUUUACGGGCCCACUUCCUGUUUUGCCCCCAAACUCUUCAACUUAUUUAAAGCCCCGCCUCCAGCGCAGUUUAAAACACCACCUGUUCCACUGUGAUUGUGGCUGACUGGCUGUUGGCAUCUUGCUGAUCAUCUCUCCUUGGAAAAUUCACCCAAAUCUCUGAAACUGAUUUGAACUAUUGAACUGUGGCAGUUGUUACCUGGGCUGUCACCAGGAUUCACAGCUGAUCGCAGUCUAGCAUUCUCUGCUGAAAGGUCGGGUUUUUUUUGAUGGAUCAGAUUCUCAGAUCAUCUUCGGAGCAACGGAUGGCGAGCUAAGGACAAGAACUUUGAUCUUUUGAAUUUA